CUGUGGGAGGUUGGAUGGGGCAGCAGCAGGGGGCGCUGCGAGGAGUCACUUUGGGGUGUUGGAAGGCAGCAGCAGAGGGCGCUGUGAGGACUCAGUUUGGAGUCUUAAUGUCAUAAACAGAUAGUUAAGGGUUAAUGUCUCUUUUAUCUGUAAAGGGUUAACAAACAGGGAACCAAACACCUGACCAGGGGACCAAUCAGGAGACAAGAUACUUUCAAAUAUUGGUGGAGGGAAGCCUUUAUUUGUGUUUUUUGGGCUUGGCUUUGAUCUCUCUGGGCUCUGAGAGUGACCACACGUACCUACAGGCUCUCUAAUCUUCUAUUCCAAUUUUGAUUUUCCCUUCCCAAACCUGACCCAAUCACCCGGCUGGAAUGAGAGGAAGAGCCGUGGGUGCCCAAUCUCUAGGCCAGUGAGGAAAGAGGGAUCCCGAGAGGCGCCCACACAGCACAAUGACUUCUGUCUGGAUUGUCACUCUCGCAGCAGUUGAUGAGAGAGUGAGUGAGAAUGAGGAGGGGAAUCAACAGCAGGAA